rnacentral:rRNA from 1 species
CGGAGGAUCCAAGCGUUAUCCGGAAUCAUUGGGUUUAAAGGGUCCGUAGGCGGUCUUGUAAGUCAGUGGUGUAAGCCCAUCGCUCAACGGUGGAACGGCCAUUGAUACUGCAGGACUUGAAUUAUUGGGAAGCAACUAGAAUAUGUAGUGUAGCGGUGAAAUGCUUAGAGAUUACAUGGAAUACCAAUUGCGAAGGCAGGUUGCUACCAAUUGAUUGACGCUGAUGGACGAAAGCGUGGGUAGCGAACAGGAUUAGAUACCCUGGUAGUCCACGCCGUAAACGAUGGAUACUAGCUGUUGGGAGCAAUCUCAGUGGCUAAGCGAAAGUGAUAAGUAUCCCACCUGGGGAGUACGUUCGCAAGAAUG